UAUACGCUCAAGCAUAAGUGAGUUAUCCGCCGCGAGAGAGUCCCAAAUGACUUAUCCGUACUCUAAAAUUGGCCUAAUAAGCGAACAUUAAAGAAUCUUUAAAGGAAAUUUUAGCCUAAAUUCUGAAAAAAUACUCUUCAUAAGUCCUAUAGUUUUGAGAGCUUUUCAGCAUGCUCGCUCCACUCUCUGAGAGUCAAACUGAAUACAAAAUCGAAAUCAAUGACGGAUUCUCGGAACGAAUCAAGGGA